rnacentral:rRNA from 1 species
AGAGUUUGAUCAUGGCUCAGAUUGAACGCUGGCGGUAACUUUUAAACAUGCAAGUCGAGCGGUAACAGACAUAAAGAUUCAGCUUGCUGAAUCCGGUGCUGACGAGCGGCGAACGGGUGAGUAACGCGUAGGAAUCUACCCAGUAGCGGGGGAUAGCCCGAGGAAACUCGGAUUAAUACCGCAUACGCCCUGAGGGGGAAAGGGGGCAGUUUACUGCUCUCACUAUUGGAUGAGCCUGCGUAAGAUUAGCUUGUUGGUGGGGUAAUGGCCUACCAAGGCAACGAUCUUUAGCUGGUCUGAGAGGACGAUCAGCCACAUUGGGACUGAGACACGGCCCAGACAUCUACGGAUGGCAGCAGUUAAGAAUAUUGGACAAUGGGGGCAACCCUGAUCCAGGUAUACCGCGUGUGUGAAGAAGGCCCUAGGGUUGUAAAGCACUUUAAUCAGAGAAGAAGCAUUUUAAGUUAAUACCUUAUUAUGUUGACGUUACCUGAAGAAUAAGGACCGGCUAACUCCGUGCCAGCAGCCGCGGUAAUACGGAGGGUCCAAGCGUUAAUCGGAAUUACUGGGCGUAAAGCGCGCGUAGGUGGUUUUUUAAGUUGGAUGUGAAAGCCCUGGGCUCAACCUAGGAACUGCAUUCAAAACUACUAAGCUAGAGUACGAGAGAGGAGAGUAGAAUUUCUGGUGUAGCGGUGAAAUGCGUAGAUAUCAGAAGGAAUACCAAUGGCGAAGCAGCUCUCUGGCUCGUCACUGACGCUGAGGUGCGAAAGCGUGGGUAGCAAACAGGAUUAGAUACCCUGGUAGUCCACGCCGUAAACGAUGAGAACUAGCCGUUGGGCAGAUUUAACUGUUCAGUGGCACAGCUAACGC